rnacentral:rRNA from 1 species
GACGAACGCUGGCGGCGUGCCUAAUACAUGCAAGUUGAGCGAUGAAGAUUGGUGCUUGCACCAAUUUGCAGAGCAGCGAACGGGUGAGUAACGCGUGGGGAAUCUGCCUUUGAGCGGGGGACAACAUUUGGAAACGAAUGCUAAUACCGCAUAACAACUUUAAACAUAAGUUUUAAGUUUGAAAGAUGCAAUUGCAUCACUCAAAGAUGAUCCCGCGUUGUAUUAGCUAGUUGGUGAGGUAAAGGCUCACCAAGGCGAUGAUACAUAGCCGACCUGAGAGGGUGAUCGGCCACAUUGGGACUGAGACACGGCCCAAACCCCUACGGGAGGCAGCAGUAGGGAAUCUUCGGCAAUAGACGAAAGUCUGACCGAGCAACGCCGCGUGAGUGAAGAAGGUUUUCGGAUCGUAAAACUCUGUUGGUAGAGAAGAACGUUGGUGAGAGUGGAAAGCUCAUCAAGUGACGGUAACUACCCAGAAAGGGACGGCUAACUACGUG